GAGUUUGAUCGUGGCUCAGGAUGAACGCUGGCGGCGUGCCUAAUACAUGCAAGUCGAGCGAACAGACGAGGAGCUUGCUCCUCUGACGUUAGCGGCGGACGGGUGAGUAACACGUGGAUAACCUACCUAUAAGACUGGGAUAACUUCGGGAAACCGGAGCUAAUACCGAAUAAUAUAUUGAACCGCAUGGUUCAAUAGUGAAAAACGGUUUUGCUGUCACUUAUAGAUGGAUCCGCGCCGCAUUAGCUAGUUGGUAGGGUAACGGCUUACCAAGGCGACGAUGCGUAGCCGACCUGAGAGGGUGAUCGGCCACACUGGAACUGAGACACGGUCCAGACUCCUACGGGGGCAGCAGUAGGGAAUCUUCCGCAAUGGGCGAAAGCCUGACGGAGCAACGCCGCGUGAGUGAUGAAGGUCUUCGGAUCGUAAAACUCUGUUAUUAGGGAAGAACAAAUGUGUAAGUAACUAUGCACGUCUUGACGGUACCUAAUCAGAAAGCCACGGCUAACUACGUGCCAGCCG
rnacentral:rRNA from 1 species